rnacentral:rRNA from 1 species
CAUUACCGAAGUCAUAGAGUUUGAGACUGCGUCUUCAAUGGCGUGUGCUCGGCUCUUACUCUUCUCUAUCCACACCUUUGUGCACCAUGGGAUGAAAUAAAAGUCCCCUUUUUUAUAUUAAUACCUAGUUAUAUGCAUGUCCUUAUAUACUCUAAGGAGUUAAUACAACUUUCAACAACGGAUCUCUUGGCUUUCGCAUCGAUGAAGAACGCAGCGAAUGUGCGAGACGUAAUGUGAAUUGCAGAAUUCAGUGAAUCAUCGAAUCUUUGAACGCAUCUUGCGCUCCUUGGCAUUCCGAGGAGCAUGCCUGUUUGAGUGUCGUGAUACUGUCAAUUUCACUCUUUUUGUUUGAAAUUGGACUUGAAUGCUGUCGUGGAUGCCUUACGACUCAUUCUAAAUGCAUUAGCGAUCUGCCUUUGAUCACACAAUGUGAUAAUCAAAAAGCAUUGUUUGUAUUCAAGUGGAGAUGGCUUCUAACUGUCGAAAGACAAAGUGAAUGUCAUUUGACCUCAAAUCAGGUAGGACUACCCGCUGAACUUAAGCAUAUCAAUA